rnacentral:tRNA from 2 species
GCGAGCGUAACUCAGUUGGUAGAGUGUCAGCUUCCCAAGCUGGAUGUCGCGGGUUCGAUCCCCGUCGCUCGCUCCA